rnacentral:rRNA from 1 species
GUCCACGCCGUAAACGAUGGGCACUAGGUGUGGGAGGUGUCGACUCCUCCCGUGCCGUCGCUAACGCAUUAAGUGCCCCGCCUGGGGAGUACGGCCGCAAGGCUAAAACUCAAAGGAAUUGACGGGGGCCCGCACAAGCAGCGGAGCAUGUGGUUUAAUUCGACGCAACGCGAAGAACCUUACCUGGGCUUGACAUGUAUGUGACAGCCGUGGAAACACGGCCUUCCUUCGGGACACUUACACAGGUGGUGCAUGGCUGUCGU